rnacentral:rRNA from 1 species
GCAGCCGCCGCGGGAAUACGUAGGUGGCAAGCGUUGUCCGGAAUUAUUGGGCGUAAAGGGCUCGCAGGCGGUUUCUUAAGUCUGAUGCGAAAGCCCCCGGCUCAACCGGGGAGGGUCAUUGGAAACUGGGAAACUUGAGUGCAGAAGAGGAGAGUGGAAUUCCACGUGUAGCGGUGAAAUGCGUAGUGAUGUGGAGGAACACCAGUGGCGAAGGCGACUCUCUGGUCUGUAACUGACGCUGAGGAGCGAAAGCGUGGGGAGCGAACAGGAUUAGAUACCCCCGUAGUCCCUGUCUCUUAUAC